UACGUAGGCAGCAAGCGUUGUUCGGAAUUACUGGGCGUAAAGAGUGUGUAGGCGGUGUUCUAAGUCUGUUGUGAAAUCUCCCGGCUUAACUGGGAGGGUGCGGCGGAAACUGGAAUGCUAGAGGAUGGGAGAGGUAAGCGGAAUUCCUGGUGUAGCGGUGAAAUGCGUAGAUAUCAGGAGGAACACCUGUGGUCUAGACAGCUUACUGGACCAUUUCUGACGCUGAGACACGAAAGCGUGGGUAGCAAACAGG
rnacentral:rRNA from 1 species